UGCCUUAUGGUGUAAUGGUAGCACAUCUGAUUCUGGUUCAGCUUGUCUGGGUUCGAGUCCUAGUAAGGCAA
rnacentral:tRNA from 1 species